ensembl:lncRNA
CUCCGCUUGUCACCUGGAAUUCUGGCAUGGGAGCACCACACAUUUACUGGGCCUGCUGUGCCCUGCCAGUAUCCCACCCCAUCAUGGGGAGCCUUCUGCAGGGGUGUAAACAGAGUGUGGACCGGCGGGCACAGUUUGCUGCUCUCCAGCUAAAUACUGCCUGAGCUCUGGCCAUGGAGACCUGUAGCCCUUGCUUGUGGUCAUGCAACAGGGCAUUAAAAAUAAAGGUAAAUCCCUUACCAGCAUCUCCCGAUUGGAAAAUGGCAUUCGGCUACAUGAAAAUGUCAUUAAUAUGAUUCCAUUGGCAGAGCAGGAGAUGCCAGGCUCAGGACCCUGUGCCCAUCGCCACCCCCUCCCCCAGCCCAAAGCGUCUCCCUCUCUCCAGACAAAGGAGGGAUGCUCCCUCUGUCUCUCUCAGGCACACAGUGUAGCAGAAUUCUGGCGUUUGUGUAUCGUUUUUUCCCUGCUGGCAUUUAAUGGGCGUUUUAGUAGCACAAAUAGAAAAUGCUGCAUAUUCAUCUUCCGUGUCACAGGCAUUGAGAUGGAGAGGAGUGAAAGGAGAAGCGCCUCGGGCUCAUUGUACCAAUCUUGUCCUCCACAGCAAUCUCCAAGAUGAAGAAUAACUUAAUUACCGCAUCUCAUUUCGUCUGCUUUAUUUGCUUCCCUCCUAUGCCUGUGCCCACUCUUGACACACGAUUAAAACACCAGUGGGCAGCCAGCACCCACCCCACGUUGUGCUCCCAUGGCCGGAUGGCAGGAGAGGGCUGAUGAAAUAUGGGCUGUGCCUCGAAAGAUGAAGGGCUGCAAUCCAUCCCAGUGGCUGUGGGCUUUGCAGAGCAGCAGUCUGGCCACAAAGCAAUCGGCCAGCAGUGGGCUGGCUGCUGCUGGAGGUAAAGGUUUUGUGUGCCCAUCCAUCUUGGUCAGCUUGCUUUGGGAAGGGCGUGGGCGUCGAGUUCAAUUUGGAUGGAAAAAAGCAGCUUGAAGUCAGGAAAUGCAGUUUUUCUCCCCGACUCCGCCACAAAUAGGGGAAUUGGGAUUGCUCAGUGUGGGCUUUCCUCUCUUGGCUGUCCCAUCAGAGCCCCUUCAUGAUGCACAAGGUACAAAAUCUGCCAAAAUGACGUCCCCAGAACAAGGUUGGCUCUGGAUAAAGCAUCACUUGGGGUCCUGCAAACUGAGGAAUGCCUACAAAGCUCAGCCCUGCUAUUCCCAUCACACACAGGGCAGCUGGGGACACAAAUCCGAUGUCCCCUGAACAAGGGCGUGGAGUCCUUCAGCUAAGUCACCCCAAUACUGAGCAGAGGUGCUGAACUCUGUGUCCCCAAAUCGCCCCUCCGUGGCCCCACAGGGCCCCUACUGGGCAGGGGACAAGGGCAGCCAGCAGCUGGGGUGAUGCCUGGGGCACCACGGGUGAAAAGCUGUGUUUCCUGUUGGUCUCCAGACAGGGACGUGACCCAGGAGGUUUGGCAGCUGAAGCACAUUUGUUUUCACAGAGCGGAGAGCACCAGAAGCAAUUAGUGCAUUUAAAAUAGCUCUGCAAAGCCCCGCUGCAACUUUGCAAGGCAGGGGAAGAGCCAAAACCCAUGGCACACUGCAGUCCAUCAGUGUGUCCACAGAGGGACACGUGGAGAUGCCUCCAUCAGCCCCAAGCACAAAGCCAGGUAUCAAAUCCAAACUCGCCUCUUCUCUUCCAUGACAUGUCAUUUCCUUUCUGUCCUUAAGAAUGGUCUAAUUGCUGGAUUAGUUCUCCUAGGAAAGUGCAGGGGAGCCAGCUCUGCUGCCAGGUAUUGGUGAGUUAAAGGAGGCAGCAAACCGAGCAGAGCUCAUUUGUGCUCUGUGUCAGCACCAUUCCCUCAUUCCCUCUGAGCACCCUGCUCCUUUUAGGUAAAUGCUUCACUGUGCUGUGAACACGCAGGUAAUGAAACCUUGUCUUUGUAGUUUGGUGAUAUAAAAAAAGAAACAGAGCUGUGCUAAAUGUGCCCACAUUGAAGAGUCACCAUCCCGAGCAAUGAGCGCUCAACAGGACCAGGAGGGGAGGUCUGGGUCUGCAGUAGUUUGAUUGGGAGUGUGAGGGCUUGGGAAGUAGUGGGCUCACGUGGUAGGGUGAUGCAGAGCUACACAAAGCAAACAGGGAGAGAGAUGUGAAUUGAGAGAUGGAAAAUGGAAGGAAGAGAAAGGCGGUGGGGAAGGGAAAGGAAAGGAGAAGAGAAAGGAGAAGGGGAAGGAAGCAUUGUUAUUGUCUCUGACAAGUGUGCGUUUGUGGGAUGGGGAGGAGGAGCAGCCCACAGCAUCCUGCAGGAAAACAUAUCGAGGUUUAAUUCUGUUGAGAGCUCAUUGGAUGGGACUGGAGAAUUACUUAUCUCAUUCUGGGUUGCAGUUUGUGUUCCAGUUUUACAUGCAUGCUUACACAGCAGGAAGGCUGGAACAGGUUGCCCAAGGAGGCUGUGGAUGCCCCAUCCCUGCAGGCAUUCAAGGCCAGGCUGGAUGUGGCUCUGGACAGCCUGGGCUGCUGGUUGGCGACCCUGCACAUAGCAGGGGGUUGGAACUCAAUGAGCAUUUUGGUCCUUUUCAACCCAGGCCAUUCUGUGAUUCUGUGAUUCUAUGAUGCCCCGACCCCUCUGCUCUGCUCUCACCCCAGCAUGUAAAGGGUCUCCAUCUCCAUGAGGACAGGUUUCACCAAAGCACUGCUGAAUUGAACCUGGGUUUCUUUUCAGGGAGGAAGAGUCACACAGGCACACAGAGCUACUGAAAAAGUGUGUGGGAUGACUAUGGAGGAACACCCAAGAGCAUGGCCUAAAAAGUCUUCCCAGAGCAUGGUCACCACCAAAAAGUGGUAUGGAGGAGAGAAAGCAGUUCUAAUUAGUCCUAAAAUUUCUUCUAACCAAGAUGCCCCACUGAGAGAUUUGGGGUGCUCAAGGUUUCCUCUCCCUUUUGCCAUGCAAUUAGGGGCAAGGAGUUGCUGCCAAGCCAGGUGACACCCACAGUUCACACGGCUCAGGAAGCAGUCUGUCCUCUGCCUGCACCUCCUGGGGUUACCGAUGAACCACUUUAACAUCCUCCCUUCUACACCAGCAUUCCCACCCAUCACUCACGGGCCGACUGCAUGAGGAACUUCCCUGCUUGCCUGGAGGCUGUUUUUAGCAGGGCACAUUUGCUACUCAAAUAAAGUAAAUGAUUAAAAAAAAGUAAUAAUAAAUUAAAAACCUGUAGCUUAACUCCCAACGAGUUUAAAAUCGGGCAGGUUGAUUAUAAGCUGUCACAGUACACGCUCAUGAAAUUCUGACAGCAGGGCACCAAGGGUUCUGCACCAAGCUGUCAGACCUUCCACUCCACCUGAACUCUAAACCUUGAUCAGCUGCUGCUGCUGAGGUUGUGGUGAGCUCCCCAGCUGAAGGCAGGCUCACUGCCAGCAGAACGUGUCGGGACUGGGGAUGCCAUUCGGAGUUUGGCUGUGGCUGCACUCUGUGUUUUACUGAGCUCUGCAAGUUCUGUGCUUUGGGAGGCCAUCCCGUGGCUCUUUGGAGGUCUGAAAAUCCCCCGUGCAGGAAAAGCUUUCUGCAGCAUCACUGGGAAGUAGUUCAGGAAGAUAAAGCUCAAACUCCAGUCUUCGUUGGGGAACUUACUAAUCCAUGUGUUGGGAAAUGCUGAGUCACAGCUUGAAGUGAUGGGGCACCUGGUGGGAAGGCAGGGCCAGCCCAGCGAAGCUCAGGUGCGAGCAAUGCAGCUGAGUGACCAGAAGGGGUGGAGCCAGGAUGCACCCCUUACAGACCUCAUUUAAGGGCUGGCAGUGGAAGUAGGUGUAUCUUGCUGGAGAUGCCUGCAUGCUUAAGGCCUUCUGAAGUGGGAUGAGAGCGCACAGGGUUGGUGCCCGUGGCACUGCUGGACUCGGAGCUGCAGAACCACCAUGUCCUCUCUCCUUAUCAUCCUCCACAUGCUCCUUUUUGGGUAUUUUGCAGCACUUUGAGGCUGGGAGAAGUGGUGCAGCAGCAAUGACAACCAGGACAUUGUCCCCUUGGGACAUGCAUUGAGCGAGACCCGGCUGCCUGCCUUAGCCCUUGAAAGGAAGGGGUGAAGGAAAAUGGGAAAAGGAGAAGGUGGGAAGGAGAACGAGAGAGAAAAAUGAAUUGCUUAAAACUUCUAUUACUCUUCAUUACCUUCUGCUUUAUAAAUUCGAAGUCAAACCUGGGGGCUCCAGACCCCGAAAGAAUGGAAGGGAAACGUUCCCUGCCUGCCCCGCCAACCAGCUCGUUAAACUCCAGCCCUCCUGCUGCUCUCCAGUGAUUUAUGGAGAAUCAAAGCCAAAGCCCCACUUGUCUGUAGAUGGGAUGCUUGGAUUCGAGGUGUUGUUUCAAAGAAAAGUGAUGGAUCAGAACCUGGAGACCAGGUCCAGCCCAGUCCCCAGCAGCAGCCCUGACCUCUUCUCCACCACCUCCAUCCUCUGCAGGUCCCUCAACCUACUCAGCACCUUAUUUUGAAGGGAAGGAGGCUCUUAUCUGACCCGCGCUUCACAUUUCAAGGCCGCCACGAGCCUUGGGCUCAUAUUUUUCACACGUCCUAAAACAUCAUCCCUCCCCCGGCACAAACGUGCAUACAUUCCUUAUGGUCUGCUUCCCCUCAGGGCCCCACAGGCCUGAAGAGAUGAUAAAAUUUCUGUAAAGUAGGUGUUUGAGGCAUUUCCUAGCAGUUCGUGACCCCGCUGAAACCCCUGCGAGGAACGCAGUAGGAUGCUUCACAUAACUCUGAAAAAGGAUGUUUUGGAGCUAAUUGCUUCCAAACCAUCCAAGUGAUGAGAAAUCCAGUGCUACCAGCAGCUCAU